rnacentral:rRNA from 1 species
UUGGANUGGGCGAAGCCUGACCCAGCAACUNCCGCGUGAGGGAUGAAGGCCUUCGGGUCUUNAACCUCUGUCGGGAGGGACGAAAGGUCGGCGGUCGAAUAGGCCGAAGGCUUGACGGUACCUCUAGAGGAAGCGCCGGCUAACUCCGUGCCAGCAGCCGCGGUAAUACGGAGGGCGCAAGCGUUGUUCGGAAUUACUGGGCGUAAAGCGCGUGUAGGCGGCCAGGUAAGUCGGAUGUGAAAGCCCGGGGCCCAACCCCGGAACUGCACCCGAUACUGCCUGGCUGGAGUCCCGGAGAGGAUGGCGGAAUUUCCGGUGUAGAGGUGAAAUUCGUAGAUAUCGGAAGGAACACCAGUGGCGAAGGCGGCCAUCUGGACGGUGACUGACGCUGAGACGCGAAAGCGUGGGGAGCAAACAGGAUUAGAUACCCUGGUAGUCCACGCCGUAAACGUUGGGUGCUAGACGUCGGGGGUAUUGACCCCUCCGGUGUCGAAGCUAACGCAUUAAGCACCCCGCCUGGGGAGUACGGCCGCAAGGCUAAAACUCAAAAAAAUUGACGGA